CGUCACCCUGAGGACUGAGUCAGAGUCAGUCAGUCGAGUCGGUCAGCGACGCAAGUGAACGUGUGUUGUUGGUGCACCGGACAUGGCUAUUCAAUAGAACAUCUAUUCAAACGCUGCAGUAGUGCUGAUUCUAUAUUAAAAAGUAAUAUGCAUUAUGGUUCCCACACUAAUAGUGAAUGAAUUAGUGAUACGUGGACUGAAACUCGUGCUUAGAACUCUCUUCACCGAUAAGUACUCGACCAAAGGCUGAACUCCUUAAAAGACUUAACACGAACCAUGAGCCAGAGUAGUCUCAGUUUCCCGCUAGGGUGACGGGUCUGUGUCACCCAGUCCCUGGCAGAAAGGAAGAAAGGGUAGGGGAAGUGACCUUUGCCCUCUCCAGUUUCGUUAUCGGCUGUCGAAGCCUUAAAGAGACCAGAAGUCUCCCAGACACUCCUAAGAAGCGCUGCUUCGUCUCUGCACAAAAGAAAUUCAGUUUUUCCCUUCAAGUCUUAUUACGAUUCAUGGCAACUGGCCCCCCAUAAUUCGCCUUGGAAACACACUCAAAUCGCUGGAACGAUGGUGGAACGCAAAGCAGGGCGCAGGGGGGACUCGCCCCAAUCCCGGGAAAGCCUGGGGUCCUCUGGCGGGUCCGAGGGCUCUGGACUCAAUGGAAGCAGAGUCUUCACGGGGCAUUCAACGCUGCCUUCGUCGUCAGAAGGAUUUGGUUCAGCGAGUUCGUUGGACACGACCAUGAGGUCGAUCGGCUCCCGGGGCUCCCUGACCGACGAAGGAUACGAUGAUUGCGAUAACGUCAACGUGGUUGUCAGAUGUCGGCCUUUGAACGACAAGGAACGCAAGAAAGGAGACGAGGCCUGCGUCACCUUUCCCGGCGAAGGACAAAUAUGGGUCAACAUGGACGGCAUGAACGGCCAGGUUACACAGAAACCGAAGGUGUUUACCUACAACGUCGUCUUCGAACCCGAAGCCCUUCAGGAGGACAUUCUGGAGCACUCUGGCAUCAAGAGGCUUCUGGACAUGGCCAUCGAUGGGUUCUCCUGCACCGUCUUCUGCUACGGACAGACCGGAUCCGGGAAGACGCACUCCUUAACCGGACCUCCACAUCUGUACUAUAAAGAUGUGAAACCGUCCAUCACAACAUCCAGAACAGCUAAUAUGAGCCAUCCAGUAGCCAAUUUCUUUUCGUUCGACACGGGCCCCGACCUGUUUUCGGAGGAUCACGGCCUCAUCUUCCGGUCCUUCGUGUACCUGUUCAACCAACUGGAGACGAGGGACGAUCAGGAGUUCACGCUGACUGCGUCCUACUUGGAGAUCUACAACGAGAAGGUUAUUGAUUUGUUAAACAUAGGGACGAAUCAGAAACCUCUCCAGGUCAGAUGGAGCAAAAAGAAACGCGGCUUCUUCGUUGAGAAUCUGUUCGAAAUUGAAUGCGCCGAAUUAGAUGAUCUUCUGGCCGUCUUGGAAGAAGGCCUGAGGAAUCGAGCCGUAGCCUCUCACAAUAUGAACGAAUAUUCGUCCAGGAGUCACACCAUAUUGACUGUGAACAUCACGUCUGAGCAAAAGGCUGACGACGGAGUGUACGUCACGAGAAACGGAAAGAUCAACUUCGUCGACUUGGCUGGAUCCGAGAUGACGAAGAAGACCAACUCGGAAGGGAAGACCUUAGAGGAGGCAAACAACAUCAACAAGUCCCUCAUGGUUCUUGGCACUUGCAUUGCUGCUCUUUCUGAUUCCCGCAAGCGAGAUGGCCAUGUCCCAUACAGGGAUUCUAAGCUGACCAAGUUAUUAGCUGACAGCUUAGCUGGAAAUGGAGUCACCUUAAUGAUUGCAUGUGUUUCUCCAGCAAAAUCCAAUAUUAGCGAAACAAUCAACACCUUGCGGUAUGCCUCAAGGGCUAAACGAAUCCGCACCAAACCUAUAAUCGUAAUGGACCCAAAAGAGAAAGUUAUUAUGAGUUUGCAACGAGAAGUCAGUCUUUUGAGAGAAGAAAAUGCCCACUUGAAAAUGCUGCUUGACAUAGCUGCUGUUGAUGGAGUUCCUAAUGGUACUGGAGAGGCACAAAAUGGACAGACUGAUGCUGAAGGCAAUAUCAUUCACCUCAGAGGAAUUGGUGAACUUAAUGGUGCUGGUAAUGAUGGGAAAACACAUGUAAAUUUCCAUCCAACCAUGCCAUCUCGCCAGGCAUCUUUUAGAGUUGAUAAAGAAAAACUAGCAAGUCUUGAUAAUGCAGAACUCAUCAAUCUUGUACAGCAGUAUAUGAUACAACAUGAAAGUGUUAUGAGGGAGAACAAAGAGCUUCAGGCAGUAACAGAAGCACUGGCAAGGGAUCAAGAUUUAGUGUGCAAGGAAAAUGAACGACUUCUGAGAAAACUCGAGGAUGUCAGCAGGGGAACUGAUACUGAUAGUAAAUCAGCUAAAGAUGAGAGUGUGUGCCGACGAUCACCAAUUGUGCCUGCUCAGCCCAUGGUGUCUGGUGAUGAGAUUUUAAAUGCCUCCAUGACUGGGAACUUCAAAGCCUUAAAUGGGAUUCUGUCAGGGAGUAAAAACAGGUCCCAGGUCAGCAGCUCUUUCAGAUCACGUUCUUUGCCUUCAUCGUCAUCCUCUUCUCAAGUGUGGAUUAAUCCUCUAAAUGAUUCCUCUAGAGGAAGGGAUGUUCCUACAACUUCAGGCUCAGCUCCUGGAAGUAGCGGUAGUGGGGUACGUCAUCGUUUGCCGGAGUCAAUCAAUAAGGAGCUUGCAAAACGACGUAUUGGAAAAAGUCUCAAUGACCUGACGGGAACCAGCAGUGGUGGCCGUGAGCGCAACAGCAGAGGUGGGCGCCGGAAUAGCUGGGAAAAUGCACAGGAUGGUGCUGCAAUGCCCUCAGUGAGAAAGCCAACUGUAAGAAACAAGAAUAUGUCUCCAGGAAUGGGACCUGGUAAAAGCGGAUCCCGUGAAAAGACCCGGUCUAAGUCAGUGCCACGACCUAGAAUACGAGGGAAGGGUGACAGUGGCCGGGGAAAUGCUGAAGGAGGUCCUGAUCGUAAGCCCCCAGGUAUGCGGACCUCCUAGUUGAUAACGCUGCUUCUGCUGCUGCUGCUGCUGCUCCUACUACCUCUCCUGUCUGCUGCAGCUGCCACUCAGCAGAAGUCUCCUCCCCCGCCUCCUCGCCCCCCUACGAGGUUAAUACUGUGCCACCUACUACUGAUAACCCAAAAACAGUAACAGCAUGAUUUUAGUGCACCAUGUUCUCCAGAGAUAAGGAAAUUCGAAAAUUUUUACUUGGAUAAAACUGUCAAAGCAUCCCAUUGGUACAAGUAUGUCAAGAGUUCAACAAUUUUUGAAGAAUUAAGAGGAAAGGACAGAUAAACUACAAUGGCAACAAUCUCUCUACAAGUAAAUUAAGCCUUAAAAGCAGUCUUUCUAGCAAAAGGACAAAGGAUGAAGUGGGUAAUGCAAUUUUUAAUGGUCUAUUUAGUUCUUGUAUUCCUAAAGAUUCUUGACAUGACAUUAUAAUAGCUGCUAUUAUAAAAAGAAAGUGCACUUAUUCUUGCUUGAAGUAUAAUAGUGAAGCAAAUUACUGUGGCAUUUAAGGCUGGAAGAAAAGAAU